UGAAGUGGGGUGGGGAGUCAGAUGGGUCAGGAGAGAGACCAUCUUGCAUACAUUUUCUGUCUCUCCUGACCCAUCUGAUUCCCCAUCCCACUACAC